rnacentral:lncRNA from 1 species
AUGGCUGGUGGCUUGGAGUUUGAGCUGGACUGCAUGAUCUUCUUUAUGAUUCAGCCCAACUCCCCUUAUCUGGCUGAGUGGUCCCACCUACCGGGAAAUUUCCACAGGGAUUCAUAUGAAUUUAUCGCAACUGAACCAAGUCCUGUCAUCAUCUGCUGCAAAAGGGCUGAUCAGAUGCUCUAA